AGAGUUUGAUCCUGGCUCAGAACGAACGCUGGCGGCAGGCUUAACACAUGCAAGUCGAACGCACCGCAAGGUGAGUGGCAGACGGGUGAGUAACGCGUGGGAACGUGCCCUUCAGUUCGGGAUAACCCAGGGAAACUUGGGCUAAUACCGGAUACGUGCGAGAGCAGAAAGAUUUAUCGCUGAAGGAUCGGCCCGCGUCUGAUUAGCUAGUUGGUAGGGUAAUGGCCUACCAAGGCGACGAUCAGUAGCUGGUCUGAGAGGAUGAUCAGCCACAUUGGGACUGAGACACGGCCCAAACUCCUACGGGAGGCAGCAGUGGGGAAUAUUGGACAAUGGGCGCAAGCCUGAUCCAGCCAUGCCGCGUGAGUGAUGAAGGCCUUAGGGUUGUAAAGCUCUUUCGGCGGGGACGAUAAUGACGGUACCCGCAGAAGAAGCCCCGGCUAACUUCGUGCCAGCAGCCGCGGUAAUACGAAGGGGGCUAGCGUUGUUCGGAAUCACUGGGCGUAAAGGGCGCGUAGGCGGCCUGAUAAGUCGGGGGUGAAAGCCUGUGGCUCAACCACAGAAUUGCCUUCGAUACUGUCGGGCUUGAGACCGGAAGAGGUCAGUGGAACUGCGAGUGUAGAGGUGAAAUUCGUAGAUAUUCGCAAGAACACCAGUGGCGAAGGCGGCUGACUGGUCCGGUUCUGACGCUGAGGCGCGAGAGCGUGGGGAGCAAACAGGAUUAGAUACCCUAGUAGUCC
rnacentral:rRNA from 1 species